CUGUGCAAGCCGUCAGCCAAUCAGGGAAGGGCCUACUGAGAGCCAAUCAGGGCCGAGAUUAGAGCCAGCCAAUCAGGGCUAGGCUAGGCCCUAUAUAAUGGCUGCCCAGGAGAGCAGCAGGUCGUCUGUCCCAGAAUUUCAUGGGGGAAGGUCUGUCUCCAGAGCAGGAGACCAGCAUCUCGGGCUGGGCAGUACUGCAUCUGGCCAUCCGGUGGCCGAGACAAAUUGUAACCGGCCCUUGAGACAAGGGGCUAGACUUUGGGGGUUGCGGUUGGCCACCGAGGCAGGUGCAAGGACUGUUGCUAACCCCCGCCCCUGGAAUGGGGUGAGGAUGGACUAGUGGGCACUGCUGGAGGGGCAGUGGCCUGAAGGGCAGUGUCAAGCGGUGAGCAACGCGGCUCCAGAUGCCAAUGGAGAACAAGAGAAGGAUGGGAUGCUGACAGCAGAGGGCGUUCCCCAUCAACUGAGCUAAUUCCCAGAGCGACCAGCGGGAGGCGCCAUGCUGGAAUAGGAGCCUCCUUCCAGCUGUCUUCCAGGCCCUGGGAUCUGGCACAGCCUCCAGGACGGGCGCUUCCUGUAGCUGAGCCACGUCAGGGAGCAGUGGGGACGGGUCACCUCGUCCCAGCAAUGCCGGCUCUCAAAGAGGCUUAGAUGGAAGACCCCAGUCCCUCAUGGAGAGGCUGUGUCCAGGAUCCUGGAGACUGUUGCUUGCUGCAGGAGGUUUGAGCGGGGAGAGAUCGCUCACUGUCACAACCCAGGGGUCUCCAACCCGGGUCUGCAGGGUUCAUGGGAGCAGCCACGCUCCAACCCUCCACCUCGAAGCCUGCUGAAAAUUGCUUCCCUCGGACCCAUGAAGUUCAGCCCCAGUUUGAGGCUCCACUCCUGAGGUCCUAUUGGAGGAGUCCCAGGAAAGCUCCCUGGCCCUGCGUACGACAGUAGCAGGAACACGAAGCUGACUGAACACCAGGCCUGCUCCCGGUUCUGGACCAUGCGCUGCCUGGUUCUGCUGCCGCUCCCCUGGCUUGAUUUCCUGGCAUCUGAGUUGUGGUGGUGAUAGCACGUUUGUCUUUUGCUGCUGAUCUUCCAGUACCCUGACCCGGCUGACUCUCCACUCCUGUCAUGGCUCCCCAUCCAUCCUGGAGCUGAACCCCAGAUGGGAGCUGAUGGAUUGUCCUUGGUGGGCCAUGUUCUUGUGUGUGAUGAGAGGGCCAGGAGCAGAUGCACCACGCCUGGCCAGGACCAGGCUAAACAGCCUGUAAUGCUAGACAGUCAGCCCGUGAGCCCAGUUUGCAGAAUGUGGAAGAGCCCUUUGGCGAGGCGUUGGAGGAUUCACCAUGAAGGCGGCAGCAGCGGCAGUGCCUGGGUCCCCAUGGGCCAAGCCUCCACUCCUGCCAAUCCAGGCUAAUCUCCCCCUGCUCUCAGUGGGGUUUGGCUUUAGCUGCUGGGCCUGUGAGCCUAGACCAGGGGUCUCAAACUCAAAUGACCACGAGGGCUGCAUGAGGACUAGUUCAUUGGCCUGAGGGCCACAUCA